rnacentral:rRNA from 1 species
CACGUAGGGCGCAAGCGUUGUCCGGAAUUAUUGGGCGUAAAGAGCUCGUAGGCGGUCUGUUACGUCGGCUGUGAAAACCCGGGGCUCAACUCCGGGCCUGCAGCCGAUACGGGCAGACUAGAGUUCGGCAGGGGAGACUGGAAUUCCUGGUGUAGCGGUGAAAUGCGCAGAUAUCAGGAGGAACACCGGUGGCGAAGGCGGGUCUCUGGGCCGAUACUGACGCUGAGGAGCGAAAGCGUGGGGAGCGAACAGG